rnacentral:rRNA from 1 species
AAUAAAAUUAUAAUUAAUUUAAAUUGAAGUUUUUUAGGAUUAAAAAUAAAUGGGUUUAUGUAAAAAAAUAAAAAUAAUUUAUUGAGUGAUAGAAAUUGUAAUGUAAAUGAAUAUAAGAUAAGUUAUGUUGUUAUAUUUUAAUAAGUUAAUUUAAUUAAUUGUACCUUUUGUAUCAGGGUUUAUUAAAUAAAUAUUUAAAAUUUAAAGAUUUUCGAAAUAAAAAGAGUUAAAUAAUGUAUAAAAAUUAAUGUAUAAAAAUUAUUUUAAAUAAUUAUUUAGAGAAGAUAUUUUUGUCAAUUUUUAUGAUAUCUAGUUUUUUUUGAUAUAAAUUUAAUUUAUAUAUAAGUUAAAAUUAUAAGAAAAUUAUUUUAAAAUUUUUAUAAUAAAUUUAUAUAAAAAAUUUAUGGGAUAAUCUAUAAGUUAUUUUUAAAAUAUGUUUGGUUUGAUAAAUAUUAUAAGAAAUUUUAUUAAAAUUUAAUUUUUUUUGAAAAAAUUUAAUAAUUUAUUAUAUUUUUAUUAGAUUAAUUUGUUUAUAUAUAUAAAAAUUUAAAAUUAUAUUUAAUUAUAUAAAGAAUUAUUUUAAUUAAUUAUUGUUUAAAUUUAAUUAUGAUAAAAUUAGUAUAAAAGUAUUAAAUAAUAAGUUUGAAAUUUGUAGAUUAAUGUGUAAAUUUAUUAAAGGAAUUAGGCAAAUAAAAUUUAUUGAUAAAAAUAAAACUUAGUUCACCUGUUUAACAAAAACAUGGUUUUUUGAAUUAUAAUUUAAGAUUAGUUCUGCUCAAUGAUUUGAAAUUAAAUAGCCGCAGUAUUUUGACUGUGCUAAGGUAGCAUAAUCAAUUGUUUUUUAAUUAAGAACUGGAAUGAAGGAAUUGAUGAGAUUAAGACUGUCUAAUAUAAAAUGUUAAAAUUUAAAUUUUAAGUAAUAAUUCUUAAAUAAAAUUAUGGGACGAGAAGACCCUAUAGAAUUUGAUAUAAUUUUUUAAAAUAAAUAUAAAAUAAGAUUUAAUAAAAUUAAUAUUUUAUUGGGAGGAUAAUUAAAUUAAAUUAACUUUAAAAUUAAAAUUGAACAUUAAUUUAUGAUAAUAAUUGAAUAAUUUUAUAAUAAUAAUUAAAAUUAAUUAAAAAUUAAUUACCUUAGGGAUAACAGCGUAAUAUUUUUAAAAAGAUCAUAUUGAUAAAAGUGUUUGCGACCUCGAUGUUGAAUUAAAAUAAAAAUUAAAUGAAGAAGUUUAAUAUUUUAGUCUGUUCGACUAUUAAAAUUUUACAUGAUUUGAGUUCAGAUCGGUGUAAGCCAGAUCGGUUUCUAUCUAUAAUUAGUUAAAAUAAUUUUGUACGAAAGGACUUUUUAUUUAAAAUUUUUUUUUAAAAAAAAUAAAUGAUGAAUAUAAAUAAAUUUAUUAAAAAAAAAAUUA